rnacentral:sRNA from 1 species
UUCAAUCUUUUAAAUGUCUUCUCU